AUAAAGGCUUUUUUAUGUUGAAUUAUGCACCUGCCUCUUGUGGAAGUGGGUGAUGAAUAAAGCCACUUAUAUUUUAAAUAGCGAAAAAU
rfam:Alligator mississippiensis ScZkoYb_113, whole genome shotgun sequence.